AUUGAACGCUGGCGGCAUGCCUUACACAUGCAAGUCGAACGGCAGCACGGGUGCUUGCACCUGGUGGCGAGUGGCGAACGGGUGAGUAAUACAUCGGAACAUGUCCUGUAGUGGGGGAUAGCCCGGCGAAAGCCGGAUUAAUACCGCAUACGAUCUACGGAUGAAAGCGGGGGACCUUCGGGCCUCGCGCUAUAGGGUUGGCCGAUGGCUGAUUAGCUAGUUGGUGGGGUAAAGGCCUACCAAGGCGACGAUCAGUAGCUGGUCUGAGAGGACGACCAGCCACACUGGGACUGAGACACGGCCCAGACUCCUACGGGAGGCAGCAGUGGGGAAUUUUGGACAAUGGGCGAGAGCCUGAUCCAGCAAUGCCGCGUGUGUGAAGAAGGCCUUCGGGUUGUAAAGCACUUUUGUCCGGAAAGAAAUCCUUGGCUCUAAUACAGUCGGGGGAUGACGGUACCGGAAGAAUAAGCACCGGCUAACUACGUG
rnacentral:rRNA from 1 species